GGUUGGUCCAAGUGCAGUGGUAUUUACCACUAAUUGAUCACCACCAGUUACAGAUUCCUUUGUUCCUUCUCCACUCCCACUGCUUCACAUAACCAGCCUUAA
ensembl:misc_RNA Y_RNA Y RNA